rnacentral:rRNA from 1 species
GACGAACGCUGGCGGCGUGCUUAACACAUGCAAGUCGAACGGAAAGGCCCUGCUUUUGUGGGGUGCUCGAGUGGCGAACGGGUGAGUAACACGUGAGUAACCUGCCCUUGACUUUGGGAUAACUUCAGGAAACUGGGGCUAAUACCGGAUAGGAGCUCCUGCUGCAUGGUGGGGGUUGGAAAGUUUCGGCGGUUGGGGAUGGACUCGCGGCUUAUCAGCUUGUUGGUGGGGUAGUGGCUUACCAAGGCUUUGACGGGUAGCCGGCCUGAGAGGGUGACCGGCCACAUUGGGACGGAGAUACGGCCCAGACUCCUACGGGAGGCAGCAGUGGGGAAUAUUGCACAAUGGGCGGAAGCCUGAUGCAGCAACGCCGCGUGCGGGAUGACGGCCUUCGGGUUGUAAACCGCUUUCGCCUGUGACGAAGCGUGAGUGACGGGAAUGGGGAAAGAAGCACCGGCGAACUACGU